CGAAUACGGCGGUAGCCUUGAGAACCGGUGCCGCUUUGCUGUUGAGGUCAUCGAUGCCAUCGUCCAUGAGGUGGGUGCGCACCGUGUGGGCAUUAGACUAUCACCGUUCGUCGACUUCGUGGAUUGUGUGGACUCCGACCCGAUAGCUCUUGGCCACUACAUGAUUCAACAGCUCAACAAGCACGAGGGCUUCCUCUACUGCCACAUGGUGGAGCCCCGGAUGGCUAUCGUCGAUGGCCGCAGGCAGAUUCCACACCGCCUCUUGCCAUUCAGGAAGGCGUUCAAUGGCACGUUCAUCGCCGCCGGUGGGUAUGACCGAGAGGAAGGCAACAAGGUAGUGGCAGAAGGCU
rnacentral:lncRNA from 1 species